AUAAGGUGCAUUCGGAAGAUAGCUGUGUUUGGAGUUCAGAUGAAACAAUGCUAUCCAGUUCAAUUCGCUUAGGUUGGUUGAUGGAAUGCCAUGGCAGAACUAGAAAGCCUGCUUCAGUCACACCAAAUGAUUUCACGAUAGGCAUUAUCAGUAUCGAAUGAGGAAACUUCUCACUAAUGAGUUCUGGGCUUUGUGGCACCAAAAAUCAACUCUAAGAAAAAUCUGAACUUACUGCCAAGCGUUCAGAUAUCCAA
rnacentral:misc_RNA from 1 species